GAUGAACGCUAGCGACAGGCCUAACACAUGCAAGUCGAGGGGCAGCAUGGAAGUAGCUUGCUACUUCUGAUGGCGACCGGCGCACGGGUGCGUAACAGGUGUGCAAUCUGUCCAUAAUCGGGGAAUAGCCCAGCGAAAGUUGGAUUAAUGCUCCAUGUGAGCCGAGGAGGCAUCUCUUUGGUUUGAAACGUAAGGAUUAUGGGUGAGCACGCUUCUGAUUAGGUAGUUGGUGAGGUAACGGCUCACCAAGCCGACGAUCAGUAGGGGUUCUGAGAGGAAGGUCCCCCANACUGGAACUGAGACACGGUCCAGACUCCUACGGGAGGCAGCAGUGGGGAAUAUUGGGCAAUGGGCGAAAGCCUGACCCAGCGACGCCGCGUGAGGGAAGACGGUCUUCGGGAUUGGUAAAACCUCUUUCAGCAGGGAAGAAGAAAGUGACGGUA
rnacentral:rRNA from 1 species